GAUGAAGAACGCAGUGAAAUGCGAUAAGUAGUGUGAAUUGCAGAAUUCCGUGAAUCAUCGAAUCUUUGAACGCACAUUGCGCCUCCUGGUAAUCCGUGAGGCAUGCCUGUCCGAGCGUCAGUAAAAAGCAACUCGGCCGCGGCUGGCGGUUGGUGAUGGAGGAAGAGCACGUCUCGUUGUCGGUCUCCCCUCCCAAAAUCAACGGCGGAAUGUCACUGGCACUCGGUGUUGUAGUAUUAUUCGCCGAUCACCCAUUGUUGUUCCUGCCGCCCAAACCCCCACAAUUCUCUUGAUUGACCUCGGAUCAGGUAGGGAUACCCGCUGAACUUAAGCAUAUCAAUAAGCGGAGGA
rnacentral:misc_RNA from 1 species